AACCUUCGCUAAGGAACUCGGCAAUACAGCGACCGUAACUUCGGAAUAAGGUCUGCCCCCACUUCGGUGGAUAUGUUGUCGGUUUCAAAGCUAGCAGGUGUGGUUGAAGAGUAUCUUUAAUACAUCAAUUCUUCUUGAGAUAGAACCAAUAGCUUUUGGAACUGAAGCUCAACGCAUCUAGCGAUGUGGGGGCCGCAGCAAAAGAGCCCACGGAACUGUUUAUCAAAAACACAGCUCUCUGCUAACACGAAAGUGGAUGUAUAGGGGGUGACUCCUGCCCGGUGCUGGAAGGUUAAGGGGAGUGCUUUACGGUGCGAACUGAAGCCCCAGUGAACGGCGGCGGUAACUAUAACCGUCCUAAGGUAGCGAAAUUCCUUGUCAGGUAAGUUCUGACCCGCACGAAUGGAGUAAUCAUGUGGGCACUGUCUCAGCGAAGGACUCGGUGAAAGUGCAUUGGCGGUAAAGAUGCCGUCUGUCCAUACCAGGACGAGAAGACCCCAUGGAGCUUUACUACAGUUUUACAUUGAUCCGGGUUGCAACAUGUGUAGCAUAGUUGGGAGGCUUUGAAGCAGAUACGCCAGUAUUUGUGGAGCCACAGGUGAAAUACCAACCUUGUUGCAGUCUUGAUCUCACUUUUGCCGUUAUCCGGUAAGAGGACCGUGUAUGAUGGGUAGUUUAACUGGGGCGGUUGCCUCCUAAAGAGUAGCGGAGGCGUUCAAAGGUUGGCUAACUUCGGAUGGAAAUCGAAGUGAUAGUGUAUGCGCAUAAGCCAGCUUGACUGUGAGGAGUACAUUCCAAUCAGAGACGAAAGUCGGAGCAAGUGACCCGCUGUACGAACAUUUGUUCAUUGAAUGUGGGAUCGACAGCGCACACGGAUAAAAGUUACCCUGGGGAUAACAGGCUUAUAGCGCCCAAUAGUUCACAUAGACGGCGCUGUUUGGCACCUCGAUGUCGGCUCAUCACAUCCUGGAGGGGGAGCACCUUCCAAGGGUCCGGCUGUUCGCCGGUUAAAGUGGUACGCGAGCUGGGUUCAGAACGUCGUGAGACAGUUCGGUUUAUAUCCGGUAUGGACGUCAGGAAAUUUGCGAGGAUUUGCCCCUAGUACGAGAGGACCGGGGUGAACGCACCGCUGGUGUACGGAUUGUGGCCACCUGCUGCAUUGUCCGGUAGCUAUGUGCGGACCAGAUAAGCGCUGAAAGCAUAUUAAGCGCGAAACUGACCUCAAGAUUAGAUUUCCCUAUGAGGACACAGAUAGACUAUCUGUUUGAUAGGUGCAAGGUGGAAGUGCAGUAAUGUAUGGAGCCGAAGCAUACUAAUAGUCCCAUUGCCUUUUUAU
rnacentral:rRNA from 1 species